CACCAUGGCAAGAAGAACACAAAACAUUGCACUCAAUUCUUAUCAAUCUCAGUCUUCAUAGAGCAGACAAAGAAGGCGGCUGGUACUUGGAGUCAAAGGGAUAAAAUGUAGAAGACAACAUACUUUAUUAACAAAGAUUUGUCAGGACCCCUAUAGAUGGGAAGGAGAGGAAAUUAACAACAAAAGGAUCUAAAUAUCAUCUAUGAGAGAUUCAAAAUGAAUUUAAGCGGGGAAGGAACACCUUAAACAUCAGUAAUGAAAACCCACUACCAAUCUCAAGAGCACCAGAACUUAUCGCUGGACUGUUGUCAAGGGAAAGAAGCUUGAACUGUACAGAUAUUAAGGGGAAAGAAUAUUUGCGACUUAAAUCAGGACUUCUGACAAUUUAUUUAUCAGACAAGAAAAACUAUGAAGACCAUACUUUCUGAGAAGACAAGAAGAAAACUUUUUUUGAGUAAAAAUGGAGUAAAUCCUAUGCCCUCUAUGCAAGCACGGAAGCCGAAAAAUACUACCAUUAUGUCUAGACACACAAAACACUGUCAAGUUGGUGGAAGCGAAAACAUUUUCUUGGGAAGUGGUCACCUUCAAGAAGCAAAUGAAAAGGCAUCAAUGGGUACCUCCACAUCCGAAAAGAAAAGGCAAUUACUGGUCUUCCUCUGGAAGAAAGACUAGAAGAUUAAAUGCAACAUUUUUAGCAAAAAAAAAAAGUCCUUCAAAGCUACUGUAAUUAACACAAGAACCUUUCAUCUCUAUCUUUCCCAACGAAAUUUCAAGAACUAAAAAGACGUAUUCCCAAGAUACUCCUGACUCUUUCCUUCUCACAUCUGUUCAGGGAUUUUGUUAUCAACACCUAAGGGGCACAACAGAAAAUCACAAGUCAUUUCAGCAUAUCCUUACAGGCCUCUACACCAAGAAACUGAGAGAUGAAAAGAAAUCAACACAAAUACUUUGAGUAGUGCAAGCACAAAGCACACAAUAAAGAACUUGCACCAUCUCAAAUAUGA